rnacentral:tRNA from 1 species
GGUGGCUCAGUGGUAGAGUGCUUGCCUUUCAUGCAAGAGGCCCUGGGUUCGAUUCCUCAGCACCA